CCUACGGGUGGCAGCAGUGAGGAAUAUUGGUCAAUGGCCGGAAGGCUGAACCAGCCAAGCCGCGUGAAGGACGAAGGUGCCAAGCAUUGUAAACUUCUUUUGUCAAGGGACAAAAUCAGGCUCGAGAGCCUGACCGAGGGUACUUGAAGAAAAAGCAUCGGCUAACUCCGUGCCAGCAGCCGCGGUAAUACGGAGGAUGCGAGCGUUAUCCGGAUUUAUUGGGUUUAAAGGGUGCGUAGGCGGAAGGUUAAGUCAGCGGUCAAAUGUCGGUGCUCAACACCGGCCUGCCGUUGAAACUGGUCUUCUUGAGUGAGCGAGAAGUAUGCGGAAUGCGUGGUGUAGCGGUGAAAUGCAUAGAUAUCACGCAGAACUCCGAUUGCGAAGGCAGCAUACCGGCGCUCAACUGACGCUGAGGCACGAAAGCGUGGGGAUCGAACAGGAUUAGAUACCCCAGUAGUC
rnacentral:rRNA from 1 species